GGCGGACUGGUGAGUAACACGUGGCUAACCUACCUUCUUGACGGGGAUAACUAUUCGAAAGAAUAGCUAAUACCCGAUAUUGCUGAAGAUCGAUGGAUCUUCAGCCAAAGGCGGCCUAGUCGUCACAAGAAGAUGGGGCUGCGCCCUAUUAGCUUGUUGGUAAGGUAAUGGCUUACCAAGGCAAUGAUGGGUAGCUGGUCUGAGAGGAUGAUCAGCCACAUUGGGACUGAGAUACGGCCCAGACUCCUACGGGAGGCAGCAGUGGGGAAUAUUUCACAAUGGGCGAAAGCCUGAUGGAGCAACACCGCGUGGGGGAUGAAUGCCUUCGGGUUGUAAACCCCUUUUCUGGGGGAAGAAUAAGGUCGGGAGGGAAUGCCCGUCCGAUGACGGUACUCCAGGAAUAAGGAUCGGCUAACUUCGUGCCAGCAGCCGCGGUAAGACGAAGGAUCCGAGUGUUAUCCGGAAUUACUGGGCGUAAAGGGCGUCUAGGCGGCCAAGUAAGUCACCCGUGAAAGUCCGCGGCUUAACCGCGGAAUGCCGGGUGAAACUGCUUGACUUGGGUACAGGAGAAGAGGGUGGAACUCACAGAGUAGCGGUGGAAUGCGUAGAUAUUGUGAGGUACCCCGAUGGCGAAGGCAACCCUCUGGCCUGCUACCGACGCUGAAGCGCGAAAGCGUGGGGAGCAAAGGGGAUUAGAUA
rnacentral:rRNA from 1 species